CCUACGGGUGGCAGCAGUGGGGAAUAUUGGACAAUGGGGGCAACCCUGAUCCAGCCAUGCCGCGUGUGUGAAGAAGGCCCUCGGGUUGUAAAGCACUUUCAGUGAGGAAGAACGCCUGGUGGUUAAUACCCAUCAGGAAAGACAUCACUCACAGAAGAAGCACCGGCUAACUCCGUGCCAGCAGCCGCGGUAAUACGGAGGGUGCGAGCGUUAAUCGGAAUUACUGGGCGUAAAGCGCGCGUAGGUGGCUUGAUAAGCCGGUUGUGAAAGCCCCGGGCUCAACCUGGGAACGGCAUCCGGAACUGUCAAGCUAGAGUGCAGGAGAGGAAGGUAGAAUUCCCGGUGUAGCGGUGAAAUGCGUAGAGAUCGGGAGGAACACCAGUGGCGAAGGCGGCCUUCUGGACUGACACUGACACUGAGGUGCGAAAGCGUGGGUAGCAAACAGGAUUAGAUACCCCAGUAGUC
rnacentral:rRNA from 1 species